UUCACUGUCAAAUAUUAUUUUUACAAAGGAACCCAUAUAUAAUUUUGUGGAAACAUAAAAAAAAUGCUUGAUCGAUUAGUUUACUUUUUAUUAAUCAAAUAAAUAUGUGUAUUACAAUUUUUACAAAAUUCUCGCACAAGAGAACAACAAAAAUAUAAAUUUAUGUAUAUUAAAAACAACAACAAGUCAACAAUCAUAAAGGAACAAAUAUUCAAAUGGUAAAACAUUUUACAUGUAACCGUAUAGUAAACAAUCAUAUUAUAUAAACUUCUCGUGGUCGUGAAUGCUAUAAAUUGUUGUUGGGUAUUUUUUUCGUUCCUUUGUUUCGUGUAUGUGAAUUUUGUGCACGUGAGUUUCUUAUUUGCGUGAGUUUUUGUUUUCGUGUCAAUUGCUUUGCUCUUGUUUUUGUUUUGGUGGUGUCGUACGUUUUUGUGAAGUUGUUUUUUGUUUUGGUGGUGUCGUACGUUUUCGUGAAGUUUUUUUUUGUUUUGGUGGUGUUGUAUGUUUUCGUGAAGUUUUUUUUUUGUUUUGGUGGUGUUGUAUGUUUUUGUUUUUGUUUUUGUGUGUCGUAUGUUUUUGUUNNNNNNNNNNNNNNNNNNNNNNNNGUUUUUGUUUUUGUGUGUUGUAUGUUUUUGUUUUUGUGUGUUGUAUGUUUUUGUUUUCAAUGUUUUGUUUUUGUGAAUUUUUGACAAGAUACAAGAGACAUAAGGAGAGAGAAACUUUCACCUUACUUAUCACUUACUCUUGGAUCUCCAGAUUAUUUGUGACAUAAGGAUGGAUACAUCUUGUUAGGGAGAAAAUCUGAACAGAGCAAACCAUAUAUUAGACAAGAACAUAAACUAAAUGCAGAAUUGACUACAGCCUCCAGCAAAAAAGUGAAACUUACAUGUAUAUAGUGUGUAUUCCUGAGCAAAAUUGGGCUGCUAGCUCAGAUCUUUAACCUGAACUAAGUAAUUCAAAGUCUCCAGCCACAGUUGACACAAAUAGGUUAAAAAACCAUGAGAACUGUAAUGAGUAAUGUAGGAACCAAAAAUACAUAUUACAGGUACGACAAAAGAAUACGAAACAUUGAGAUAGAUUACCUUAACGUGAAUCAUUGAGAAGAUA
rnacentral:lncRNA from 1 species